CGUUUCCCCCAUCGCUGUAAACCGGUUCAGGCCGAGGACGGUGGCGGAGAGGGGUGGCCCCAGGCACCGCCCGCCCGGUGCCGCUGAGCCCAGGCUGCAGCAAUUUCUGACCAAUCCUGCCUGGGAAACAGAUUCACUCCGCCCCAGUCUCUUAUUCCCUUCCUCCUCCACCUCUUUCUCCUUCUCCUCCUCCCUUGCUCCUCCUCGCCCUCCAUGUCCUUUCGGUUGCCUUCUCCGCCACCCCCUUCCUUCCCUUCUCCUCCACGAGCCGUUUCACGUCGUUAAUCCGCGGGCAAGGAAGCUAAAUCUGCUGACCAAGCUAUCCCUUGUCCGUCUCUGCAAGUUUGGGAAUAACCAGCAAGGGGUACUGAGGGUUACUAAAUAAACACAUCAAUGCAUGAAAAGUGUGCCCUUGCUGCCUUCACACAUCACAGGAGAGAGCUCAAGGCUCUUCCAACUAAUGCUGACUGAUCAGGAAGAGGAAAACAGAACCUUUCACCCUCCCCAUACUGUCUUGAUUGAUGGAAAAAGCUGAAUUGUAAAAAAAAAAAAAAAAA